AAGGCUCUAGCUUAAUUAAAGUACUUGAGUUGCAUUCAGGUGAUGUAGAGUAAUGUUCUACGGGCCUUA
rnacentral:tRNA from 1 species